rnacentral:rRNA from 1 species
GACGAACGCUGGCGGCGUGCUUAACACAUGCAAGUCGAACGGAAAGGCCCUGCUUUUGUGGGGUGCUCGAGUGGCGAACGGGUGAGUAACACGUGAGUAACCUGCCCUUGACUUUGGGAUAACUUCAGGAAACUGGGGCUAAUACCGGAUAUGAGCUCCUGCUGCAUGGUGGGGGUUGGAAAGUUUCGGGGGUUGGGGAUGGACUCGCGGCUUAUCAGCUUGUUGGUGGGGUAGUGGCUUACCAAGGCUUUGACGGGUAGCCGGCCGGAGAGGGUGACCGGCAAAAUGGGAAGUGGGAAAGGGCCAGGACCCCAAGGGGAGGAAGGAGGGGGGAAAAUUGAAAGAGGGGGGGAGGCAUGAUGGAGAAACGCCGGGGGGGGGAAGGGGGCGUUGGGGUUGUAAACGGCUUUAGCGGGGAAAGAGGAGUGGGUGACGGUAAUGGGAAAGAAAGCACCGGCUAACUACGU